rnacentral:rRNA from 1 species
UACGAAGGGGGCUAGCGUUGUUCGGAAUUACUGGGCGUAAAGGGCGCGUAGGCGGCCUUGUUAGUCGAGUGUGAAAGCCCUGGGCUUAACCCGGGAAGCGCGCUUGAUACUGCGAGGCUUGAGUGUGGGAGAGGUUGGUGGAAUUCCCAGUGUAGAGGUGAAAUUCGUAGAUAUUGGGAAGAACAUCGGUGGCGAAGGCGACCAACUGGACCACAACUGACGCUGAGGCGCGAAAGCGUGGGGAGCAAACAGG